rnacentral:rRNA from 1 species
GGCAUAAUCCUGGGAAACUGGGGAUAAUACCGGAUAGGUCACAGCUGCUGGAAUGCACUGUGGCUCAAAGCUCCGGCGCCCAAGGAUGGGUCUGCGGCCUAUCAGGGUUGUAGUGGGUGUAAUGUACCUACUAGCCUACGACGGGUACGGGUUGUGAGAGCAAGAGCCCGGAGAUGGAUUCUGAGACACGAAUCCAGGCCCUACGGGGUGCAGCAGGCGCGAAAACUUUACAAUGCGGGAAACCGUGAUAAGGGAAUCUCGAGUGCCAGCAUAUAAUGUUGGCUGUCCAGAUGCCUAAAAAGCAUCUGUUAGCAAGGGCCGGGCAAGACCGGUGCCAGCCGCCGCGGUAACACCGGCGGCCCGAGUGGUAACCGCUAUUAUUGGGUCUAAAGGGUCUGUAGCCGGCCAGGUAAGUCCCUUGGGAAAUCUGGCAGCUCAACUGUCAGGCUGCUAGGGGAUACUGUUUGGCUUGGGACCGGGAGAGGUGAGAGGUAC